rnacentral:lncRNA from 1 species
AUAAGGUUAGAAAGGCUAAGAAAUGGAUUGAUGACAAUAAUAUCACUUGCGCUAGAGAUGAUAAAAGCAGAUUAAUGAUCUUAUUAAGGAAUGAGACAUAUGAAAGCUUUGUUAGUAAAUUCUUGGCAGACAGUGAGUGUGUUGAACUGAGCUCUGGCCUGACGGAGACAAUAAACAAUGAGGUCCAUAGACUCGCAAGAAAAUCAGGAAUGCCGUCGUUUCUAAGGAAUUCGUGCAUUAGGUUGCCCAAGCUGCCACGACUUUUUAUGUUCAUAGACACAAGAAUCCCGUCGGGGCGCGACCCAUGGUGGAGAAAACUGCAGCACCGACAUAUCUUUUGGAGAAGAAGCUAACAAAAUGGUGCACUAAUAAACUUAAGGAUUAUGAGUAUACAACUGUAUCAUCCAAAAACUUCAUUGACAAUCUUUUGGAGGUGGGACCAUUACCUGAACAGGUUAUGCAGAUAUGACUUCAAAGCCUUAUAUCCUUCAAUUAAAUUAGAACAGGC